rnacentral:lncRNA from 1 species
AAAACACCUCCGAGGACAACAGUAACAGAAAGAGAGUUGGUUGUUUUUCCGCCGCGAAAGCCUUGUUAUUCAUUUCUGUUUAGGGUUUUACUAAAUUCCCAAUUCCCAAUUCUCACUGUACAUGGAUUCUACGUUUCUACACCUCUGCAUCAAUCAAUGGCAGUCUUAACUACCAACGGCCUGCAAAUCACAAUCAUGAUCCACCAAUAGCAUGGUCUCUACUCUCUAGAAUUUCCCUACCACUUCUUCACCAGAAUCAAGCUUAGACCCCGUUUGGACACAGGCUUAUUGCAGCUUAUUGGAGCUUAUCUACGAGAAAAGUACACUAAAUAAGCUUCAAAAAGUGUUUUUUUGGGUUUGCAUCCAAAAGGGUACUUAAUCUCAGAAGGGGGAAACUCCUAACAGUAUGGGCAACCUGCUGGUGAAAAAUUCUGCAUCGGGUAGCCUUAGAUUCUGGAGAAAGCGCAAGGAUAACAACAAGCAUGUAGUUUCAGAAGAUUCAAGUUUAGAAGAGGUGGCUGUUAACUUGUUGAUUGGCCUAUCAUUACAUAUUUAUUUAUUUAGGCCAUGUUUAUUAGGCCAUUACACUUUUCUUAGUUAUGUUCAAUUUUAAUGUCUAAUGCAUAGCAAUGUGCCACUCUGUUAUUAAGGCACAAGUAGCUGUAUAAAUGAUUGUUUGUGUAGUUGACACUUGACAGAGUCUUACUAUGGCUUUCAGGAAGUUCCAUGGGAACCUUUUGUUCCUCUUACAGACGAGGAAAGAGCUGCGAUUUUACUUGCCUUUUCUGCUGACAGGGAUAGUUUUGGAUUAUAAAUAACUGAUUUUAUGGCAUGACAUUUGUACUUAGCUAGCUGGUUGUCAAACCUUAAUUAUAAAUCUUCAAUUAGAUGUUAGACAUUACUUCAUGGUUUAUCUUUAAAAUUUAUUAUCAGGUACAUAUGUAUGUUGACUCACGUGAAAAGGUGACCGCACGCUUUCAGGUAAUAUCAGUAAUCAAUUAGAGCUUCAAUAAUUUUGAUUUUUAAUGAUACUCUAUCAUUUUGGUUAAUAACUGGUUUUUGUUCUGCUUUGCACAUUCAGUUGACGUGCCCAUCCAAGAGGGAAAUAAUGGUUUUUGGAAGUUUCAAACAAACGGGUACUCUUCUGCCUAAAGCUCCUAAAGGAUGGGGUUGGCGAAGUGCUCUGCUAUUUGAUGAGCUUGCUGAUCUUCUCCAAAAUGGGGUCCUGAGGGUCAUUGCUGUAGUACAGCUUGUUUGAAUUUAACAGGUUAAAUAUCAAGUUCAUCGCAUACCAUAGCUGAAAAAUGCUUUGUGAAAGGAUAAAAUUUCUUUCUUUUUGUCCAGAGAUGAACGUUGGUUAAGGCCUUAAUUGUACAGAAUAAAAAAUUGAGAAUUAUGAAGCUGCAUAUGUUAUUUUAUGGACAGCAUAUGAGUGUACUAUACAAUACAUAGUUACAUACCAUUUUUCUCUGCCGUCUCAUCUAGUAUUAUAGCAUAUUUGGAUCCGCUUUUGCUUUCUAUUAUCAAUUCUGAAAUCGAAAAGCUACUAACAGAAGCUUCCCCAAUAAUUGAUUAUGACUUUAGAAUCAGUUGUAGAAUGAUUAUCAAAAUGCAUAUAGUAUAUGAGUAAGGCCUCAUGUACACGGAUGAAUACCCUCUAUCCCUAUUUGGUGUCGGCUUUCUUGUCUAACCAAUUAAAUUUUGCAAUGUAAAUGUAGACAUGAAUAUGACAAUUAUAAGUUUGAAUGAAUGAUUUUUAAAUGUUAUGACACAAUUUAAUUGGCAAGACAAAGAAGGGGAUAUCAAAUGGGGAUUUCAGCCCCAUGUACACAUAGUAGAUGCCCCUUAUUCUUAUUUUAAUGUUUUUUCAAACCAACCACUGUCCACUGACAGUGGAGAUACAAUUUUAGGGACCUUCUAAGAUUACGUGUAAUUAUAAUUGUUAGUGUUGAUUUGGCCAUGAGGGCUCUCUUAUAAGCGUGACCUAGUUAUCAUGAAACGAACGAAUGUUUCCGCUCAUGUGAACGACGAUAUGAAAAUCAAACAAGCCGAUUUGGUGACUAGUUCAAUUAGUUGAAAAAACCAUAGGUUCAUGAAUAGCUCGGCCAUACUCAGUCUAUAACUGAUUGAACCAGUUCAAAACCUGUAAAAAUCAAUCAAGAAGCGUUGUUGGAAGCCGGGUUGAAGUGGCCAAUUUUUAGUUUUAUUCUUUUCUUACUUUUUUUUAAAAUUAAAAUAAGUUUUAACCCUUUGUUAUUUCCUUUGACAUUAUAAAAUUUGAAAUUUAAUUAGUAUUAAUUGCUUAAAACCUGUUGUAAAUACAUUAAGUGAUAUUAAAAUAUUAUUUAACUUCUACCGAAUCAACCACAAUUUGAUUAUGAAACCUUAAACCAAUGCCUUUGACCAGUAAGUAACCGAUCUAGUUUUCAUAACAUUGCAUGUACUUAUUAGUUACCACCAACGUAAGCGACUUCGAGCAUGUUUAGAAAAUAACAAUGAAUUUUACAUAAAACAUUCUAUUUUUUUUGUUAAAAUCAAUUUUAACCAGUAAAAUGAUAUUUUGGUGCAUCAGUCAAAUCUAUUUCAUGGUUCAAAAAUCAGUUCUAUUUACCAUAACUUGUUUUUGCAUUAAAUGUAAUUAAUUAUGCUUAUUCCAAUUGUGAAAAAAAAAUGUAAUUAAUUGUUUCAUAAAAUAUAUAGUUGAAUAUGCUUUGAAAGAAGACAAAAACACCUCCGAGGACAACAGUAACAGAAAGAGAGUUGGUUGUUUUUCCGCCGCGAAAGCCUUGUUAUUCAUUUCUGUUUAGGGUUUUACUAAAUUCCCAAUUCCCAAUUCUCACUGUACAUGGAUUCUACGUUUCUACACCUCUGCAUCAAUCAAUGGCAGUCUUAACUACCAACGGCCUGCAAAUCACAAUCAUGAUCCACCAAUAGCAUGGUCUCUACUCUCUAGAAUUUCCCUACCACUUCUUCACCAGAAUCAAGCUUAGACCCCGUUUGGACACAGGCUUAUUG